rnacentral:rRNA from 1 species
CCAAUAGCGUAUAUUAAAGUUGUUGCAGUUAAAAAGCUCGUAGUUGAAUUUCGGGGUUAGUAGGUUGGUCAUGCCUCUGGUAUGUACUGGUCUCACUGAUUCCUCCUUCCUGAUGAACCUUAAUGCCAUUUAUUUGGUGUUUUGGGGAAUUUGGACUGUUACUUUGAAAAAAUUAGAGUGUUUAAAGCAAGCUAACGCCU